GCAUUUUCAUGUGAUGAGUGAAACUUUAAUAUGCACGCUUUUGUUCACGGCUUUCGUCGAGGAAACGCAAAGAAAAUAUUCUUUACGGAAUUUAAGGCCUUUAAUAGAAAAAUAGAUCGAGGUAGGUAAAGCUUUGUUGUUUUUAAUUUAGCUUAUAUUCUGUUAUUUGUUAUUAUUUUGGUGCCGUUGUGCUGGCACUGAUAUUUAUUUAUCAAUUAUCGGCAUUAUCAGGCGUUUAUGUUUGUGAAGGGCCACGCUGUCAGAAUUUUAAUUUUUUAUAUGCCCAAAUUGAAACGAAGCCAUUGUGCUAGCACUGAUUAUAUUGUGUGUAAAACUUCAAAUUUCAAAACUACAUCACAUUCUGUAAAUAUUAAUAUGAACUUUAAUAUAUUGUAUACUGAAAUUUAAUACAACGAAAUAGCAUUCUACUUCGAUAAUUUCAAUCAUAGUCGAGAUCAUAGAUUAAUAAUUAUUUUCAAUCAUUAUAGUAAUUCACGCUUUCCACGGUUUUUUAUACUUUCAGUAAGCCGGAGUAAAGCUAAAUUUGAAGGAAAAUAUAAGCAUUGUUUACUUCGAAUAGUCAAUCAGUGAUAAAACCUUGACCUGUUGACCUUGAUAUUACCGUCCCUUGCAACUACAGAUGAACAGUCGCGAAAAGUUUGAAAAAGUUUUGUUAUUUUGACAUAAUAGCUAUUCAGUUUCAAUAAAUAUAUUGAUGUUAAAUUUAUUGAAUCAAUAUGUUAAGUUUCAGGCCAGUUGUACCAAAAUUUAUAAGCGCUUGCGCACCAUAAAGGUGGAUUUCCACUCAGUGCAAAAUGUCGUGCGAUCGACAUUUUGCAAUCACUUUCUGAAAUACAAGCAAUCAAACACAACGGAUCAGGUUGACUGAACGUGUUUCAAAAGAAAGUUAUCCCAAAAAGUUGAUCUUGCGAUAUUUUGCACUGAAUGGAAAUCGGCCUGGGGCCGGUUGUAUCAAGCACGUUUAGCUUAAACGGUGGAUAAGUCAAAUUAAUUAAAUAACACUCUUAUAUCUCUCGUGAAUCAGUUAGCUUAAAUAUUCUGCACUGAAUAUGUAGUUACAAACAAUAUCAUUCUAUUAAGGUUCAAAACUUUUAGUUUGGUUGUUGAAUGGAUCUAUAGACUUGCUUUCUAUUUGCAGCUUAACCACCGUUUAAGCUAAACAGGCUUGAUACAACUGGCCCCUGAAGGCUUUAGUCACAGAAUAGAUACUAGACCAGAAGGGACACUCCUAUGUGUAAUGUGUUUUGGCUUGGAAAAAACGUCCGAAAUUUUUUAUGUGCUAUGACGCCAUCCUGGAGUGCACACGGCACUUUGUACCUAUGUUUGUACCCAUGAAAAACUUCUGUGGUGUACUCCAGGAUGGCGUCUUUUCACAUCAGCACUUGUCGAGUGACACUUCUGGUCCAUUCUCCAGUGCCUUUUUUAACUAUAUAUCUGGGGGGGGGGGGCAAAUGCCCCCCCCCAGGGAAAGAAUCCUCCCCCCCAGUAAAGCCAUUUCUGCCCCCGAAGUGCGAAGCAGAAUUGCUCAUGAUUGCUGUCAGAAUUGCAGUUGAUUUACUUGAUAAUGAGAUUAUGCCCUUCCAUAGCCUCCUCCACAGCCAUCUUGUGUGUAAUUCAUAUUGUUCUUCACCGAGUAUUUCAUAAUAGUGAUAGAUUUCAUGCAAACAAUCCGAUAAAAUGCUGGUUCCAAGAAGAAUAGAUUUAGUUUAGAUUUUUAACUGUUAAAUACAUGUAUGCAUCAUCAUAGCAUGAAUAUUUCUUCUCAGAUUUAUUCUGUAUCGUAUGAAAAAGCAACGCAAUUUUGAGAAUGCGGAAAUGGUGUCUCAUAGAACCUAAAAUGAUUUAAAUGCAACAUAUCUGAUCAAAAUCACAUUGGGAUGCCCCCCCCCCCGGCCGGAUCACAGAGAGGAAAUAAGGUGACACUGACCCCUCCUCCUAUUUUCAAGGUGACUUUUCCAAUUUAUUUAAUUCCGAGUACAAAUGUCUGGAAAAAUUCAUGUCUUCGAUGUACUUUAUAAUCUUCGGAACUCUUCGGAAUUUCACUCCCAAAAUGCUUGAAAUCGCAAUUCAGGGACCCUAGAUUUCAAAAUUUUCCCAGAAGUGCAUGCCCCCGGACCCUCCUAGACGGUCUCACGCUUUCGGCGUGAGGUUCGCCCCCCAAAAAAUUAAGGUCUGGCUACGCCACUGGUUAUAGCUGUACGAUUAUAGCUACAAAGAGUUGAAGUUAUUGUUUAUAUAGGUGAAGUUAAUAAAUUAAAGUUUUACAAAAUCACUCUUCAGACUCGCGCGUUCGCCAAACCUCGAUGGCUCAUAUUUUUCGUUCUGCCUUUUUUCCCCCCCCCCCCCAGUGAAAAUUCCUUAAAAAAGGCACUGCCAUUCUCUAUUCUGUGCUUUAGUUGUCCUAUGAUUUAUCACGAUAAGAUACAUUUCACUACACUUUACAUAGCGGAUCGCGGAACAUGGGCGGAGCCACUGGGCGAAGGAGCGCGGCGGAAAAGGCAACUAAAGCCUCUGCAGAAGAGAGAGGGCAUGCAACAUGUACGCACUGCGUACCUAUUUUUUUUUUAUUUUGUUACAUUUUGGCGGGAAAAUGACGUGCCAACUUUGGCGCCAAAAAAUUAAACACGAGCUAGGAACAUGCUAAGAACUUUUUUGAAGAGAUUGUCCUAUAAUUUAUUAAGGAUCUCAGAACUGUAAAAACAUUGAAAAUACGCCAAAGCAGUGCAAAGAUAUGGUGCUUAAAAAUCCGAAAAAUCCGACAUUUUGUUACUAAAAAUAGAUUUUUUUCGAACUUUGAAUCGCUAUAUCUUCGUACUGCCUUGUUGUAUUUUUAAUGUUGUUACAGUUUUGAGAUCCUUAUAGGACAGUCUCUUCAAAACAGUUCCUAGCAUGUUCUUAGCUCGUGUUUAAUUUUUUGGCGCCAAAGUUGACACGUCAUUUUCCCGCAAAAAUGUAACAAAAUCUAAAAACAAAAACAAUAGGAUUUUUAGGAAUGGUUUCAAGUUCUAUCCUGUGAGGAAAUUUCGUGAUAUUCCAAAAUAACGACUGAAAGUUAUUUGUACGUGGCCGAAUUUGCUGUCUUUUGUGCCCACCGUGGUCGGCCUUUUGUAUGACUUAUUCUGUGACUCCGUCCUCCGGACGUCGUGUUUUUACACAAUUUUUCGUUUUCCCAAUUUCCACUCGUGUUGAUAUAACUGUAAAUCAACACGGAAAAUACAUACCUCUUAUAUAUUGUUGUUGUUACAGGAUAAUUACGCAACGGUUAACAUAAAGGAACCAGUUCCUCAGGAAUUUGUUCGUUUACUGAUACGAAAACAAGGGAGUGAUAAUUUCCGAAAUAUAGAGACUCAGUGUGGCGUAAAAAUUACCUGGCCAAAAUUCAGUGGAACAGAAAAACAUGUGAUUUUUGACAUCAUAGGUUUGAGGUCGAAUUGUGACCGUGCAAAAGAGAUGCUCAGGACAAAUCUAGUAAG